rnacentral:rRNA from 1 species
UUCAGGGGUAAACCUGAGAAACCCGAAAGGUCGAAAGGGGAGAUUCAGCGUGUCUCGAACGUGGCGCUGGACGGUCGUGCGACGGACGGCGUACGCGUCGUUCGCGCCUUUCGUUCUCCGAACUGCGGUCGAACGCGUGCACUUCUCCCCCUGUAGGACGUCGCGAUUCGUUGGGUGCCGGCCUAAGGCCCGAGGUGGAGUUCGUCCGGACGUUUCGGCGUUCGUGACGAACCCUCGGUGUUUCCCGGUCGGCUCGCUCGACGAUAUACAGAUGGCGCGGGGCCGCUACGUUAGUUAGCGUUCGACCUUCGGCAAGCGCGCUUCUCGCGACGGUGAUCGGACCCGGUGCCGGUCCCGUCCCCGGGCGACUGUUGGCCGAGGUGUUCUCGAACAGACCUCGUCGAAACGCCGAUCUGCGACGCUAUAGCUUUGGGUACUUUCAGGACCCGUCUU